CUCACUACCGAUUGGAAAGGAUCAGGGCCGUAUGACAGAUGACCCUUCCAGCCAAUCAGCACAGAGGGUCAGGGCAACGGCCAUCUUGCCAUGCCAGCAACCCAUCCCUGCUCUUCUUCUCUCAGCAGGCUGCAUAGAUAGGCUGCAGUGGCCAUGAGGACUGCUAGCUUCCCAGAGUGGGCCAGUGUUUUAUUUUCAGUAAGUUGUUUUAUUUUCAGGGAGCCUGCCAAAAGCACGGUGCCUGUACUUUUUCACAGAAUCCACCCAAAAUCACAGUUUCUGUGAAAAUUGUGAAAUUAUAAUUUUGGUUGGUUCCUACCCAUAUCGAAAUGGGCUUUGUUAAUAUCAUCCUAACUACAUAAUAGCCCCAUACCUGCAAACCUAUCAAACCUCUUGGCAACUAGAAUUGUUUGUUCAGGGCCAGGAGGAAGAAAGUAUGAAAAAAUGUCCCGUCAACUCAAGCUGCUUGUCAACCUAUUCUGUCCAUGAUAGAGACUUGGAGCUGGAGCUUCAUGAGCUUCUACUGAAGGUAUUAUACCUGUCCCAUUUGAAGUAAAAUGUAAAAAAACCCAGAAAGGAAAUGAUAAAGCCCUCUUAUCUCCUCAUGCAAAGACAAACAAAAAAUGCGGAGUAGCCACACUAUGAAUCACCUGAAUGUACAAAAGCUUAUUGAAUUCAGCCUCUUACAUUAUGUGCCUAAUACCACAGGUGUGUAAAGUAUACAUUUCUGUUUCUAUAGCUACAGAAAAGCAUGAAUCACUUCAGUGUAAAUGUCUGAGAAUGCUUAAUUAGUACCUCAGGGUGGUAAAAUGAGAUUAAAGAAAGUUUAAUAGCUACCUGCUGCAGAAAGAAACAGCAUUUUGAGCAUGUGCUUGCAUCAUAGUGGACCUUCUCCAAGAGCCUUGUUGGCAUUCUGGGCUGGGACAGACCGGACUGGAGCCGAGAAUGACUGAGCUACUUUCCCAACUCCUGAAGUUAACGUCUUUGGAUAACAAAUAAGGAAUGCAGGCAGGGCAGUGUGGGAAAGCUUGUAGUAUCACCCUCUCUCUGUCCUGUGUAAAGAAAGAAGUUAAUUAGUGAUUAGAGCCUCUGACUUUGACAGGUUUAUUUAAUAAGUAUAACAUUGUACAUAAUAAUGCACCCAUCUCCCUCCCUUUCUAAUAAAAAAAAUCCUGUGUUGCACCCAAUAGCGUGUGUAUGUGUGUGUAUAUGUAUAUAUACAUAUACGUAUAUAUGCUAUCAACCAUAUAGCCUUGUUUAAUUUAUUGAUAUAUAUAUAGAAAGAAUAAAGUAUAGAUUAUUCUGUUGAUAUAAAAAGUUGCCCUCUAGUCCAAAUCUGCGGCUUGGCAAUAUAAAAAGUAUCACAGUGGCCUUUUACUUUUAGGUGUCAAAUCAAACCCCUAAAGGUUUAACAUUAUUUGGAGUGUCUUUGUGGUCAUGCCUUCUGGUGCUAGUUCUCUUUUGCCCACAGAAGUAUUGUCAAGUUCUUAUUUGGUACAGCCUCAGAGAAAGCUGGUAGCACAUGCCAUCUUGCCCACAGUGUAGAUUGGCUGUCACUAAUACCUUCUUUGUCAUUUCUAUAAUGUGUGAUUCCCUUGGGAACAGAGCAGCUAUUGUCCUGUGAACACAGCAAUAAGAAAAAGCAUUUCACACUCAGACAGAAUCAAUUAUUACAGAUUUAUUAUUGUUGAAUUAAAUUAUUAAAGAUUUAAAUGAUUAAGUAAACACUUAUAAAAAUGUCAGUUACACAAAUGCCAUGAAAUAUUCAUUCAUGUUAACUUUGCACUUAAGUUACCAGAUAGUUGUGUGUUUACUUUACUUACUACAUAGCAGAAGUGUCAUGAUCUAAAAUAUCAAAGCAGUAUUUCUCCUCCAGGAGUUUGGGUAUCUUUCUACUUGACAAAAAUGAAUAUUUGUAGCUACUGUUGGAGAGCUUUGAUACUGUUUCAUUGAACAUUAUGUCUCCCUUAAAUACAGUUAAUUUUCCUUAACUUUGAUUAAAAUUACACAGAUAUUUUUCUUCCUGCAGGUGACAUCAGAAUAAAUAACUUGUUUAUUCAGGAACUCCACCCUUUAAGUUAGUGAAUCAGCACUUUUGUGGCACAAAGUACAAUGAUGAGAUGGAAUCAGACUGUUGCACCCUAGAUAGAUCAAGCAAAGUGGCGUCCAGAUAGGUCAGAGUAGAUUUAUACUACAAUCCUUAAUUAUUUUGUUAUAGGAUUAGCAAAUGGAUCAGGAUGAUGAUAUCAUAACAUAGAACUUCCUGGCAUUGUAGCAAACUGUUAGCUUUACAGACUGAAGUUCCUAUUUGUAUCAGUGAUAUUACAUCAGGAAAGGUGUGUAUAAUGUGUUAGUCUCAUCUUCACCUGUAUUCUGACUUAGUGAUAUGUUAAUUAUUGGUAAAUUAAUACAUUAAAUAGUCCUUUCUUAAAUCUA